UCAAUUAAUUAGGAUGUGAGCUUCCACUACAAAAAAACAACAGAAGUUACCCUGGGUUCCAGGUUGAGGAGUCAUCUGAAUUAGAGGUCUACAGGGAAAACAAAUGAUGCUUAUAUCCUGUUUAAGAGUGAGGAUUUACGUGGUGCAACCUUGUUGGAUAUUGAAGCAGUUUAUUACACUCAAAGAAUGUAUUGUUUAUCAGUUUAUCCACUUUCACAGAUGUGGUUGUGGCAUUGGCUUGGGCGCUUUUCAUCCUUGGAGCUGCACUCUCAGGACCACCGGAUGAGCUGUGGCCAGUGCAGUGCUGCAAAACCCCUUCCUCCAAGCUUUCCGUCCCAGGCUGGAGGACGAGCCAAAAGCAGCAUCUGAAUUCCUGCCCUGCACCUCUCCUGCCACGUAACAAAUGGUUGUGACAGGGCCGAGUGGAGAUCUCUGCCCUCCAGGCCAAGCCAGGGCUCUGCAGGACGUGACAGCUUUGAUUUGUAUCUGUGCAGGACCCACCGGAGACAAAAGACAGCGUCAAGAGUAAUUGAAUGAACGUGGCAGGCAGACCCAGCAGUGCUCUUAUCAGCUGGGGGAGGCAGAGCAGAUCCGAGGAGCAGAACAGGCCAGGUACCAGGAACCAGAUCUUAGGGUUGCAUUCCUCACAUAAGUGGAAUUUCCUGCGGUCCCCGUUAAGUUCUCUUUUUGUAAAUUGAAAAACUAGAAUCUGGAAAGAAAUUAAAAAAAAAAAAAAAAAAAGAGCUAUACUGAAAAAAAAAAAAGUAAUUAAUUUCCUGUGCUGUCUUAAUCUAUAAAGUAAUAUAAUAAAAAGAAACCCUCAUCCCAA